GCGAUGAACCAGGCUGCCGCUUUAAGUUCGCCAACGGCGAAUUUAGGGAGGAAAGUCCGGGCUCCGCAGGGCAUGAUGCCGGGUAACGCCCGGGACCUGACCAUACAAUCUUUGAUUGUGUGGUCAGAGACAGACAGCGCCGCAGAAAACAAACCGCCUGACCAUUAAAAACGCUAACUUUACAUUAGUUCUAUGUAUGAUUUUUGGCGUUUUUAGUGGUCAGGUAAGGGUGAAAAGGCGGGGUAAGAGCCCACCUCGGUAUUGGCAACAAUACCGGAAUGGCAAGCCUCAUCAGGAGCAAAGUCAAAUAUGCGCGGGUAAAGGGGUUUCCCCUUUGCCGUCCGGCUGCCCGCCGGAUAAGCGCGGGUAGACUGCUAAAAAGGUACGGAAAUCCCCGCUAUGCCGCAAGGCGGCGAGGAUUUCUUCCGGAAACGGGUCUUUUAGACAGAUGGCAGCGGUCGGUUUAUACCGGCAACAGAACCCGGCUUAUGGUUCAUCGUGUUU
rnacentral:RNase_P_RNA from 1 species